rnacentral:rRNA from 1 species
ACCCUACGGGGGGCAGCAGUGGGGAAUAUUGCACAAUGGGGGAAACCCUGAUGCAGCGACGCCGCGUGAAGGAAGAAGUAUUUCGGUAUGUAAACUUCUUUUGACAGGGAAGAGUAGAAGACGGUACCUGUCGAAUAAGCCACGGCUAACUACGUGCCAGCAGCCGCGGUAAUACGUAGGUGGCAAGCGUUGUCCGGAUUUACUGGGUGUAAAGGGCGUGUAGCCGGGUUGACAAGUCAGAUGUGAAAUCCUGCGGCUUAACCGCAGAACUGCAUUUGAAACUGUUGAUCUUGAGUACUGGAGAG